CGCAUCUGUGCAUGCAGCAUAUCAAUAAGCGGAGGAAAAGAAACUAACAAGGAUUCCCUUAGUAACGGCGAGUGAAGCGGGAAGAGCUCAAAUUUGAAAUCUUCAAGGUUUUACCUUGACGAAUUGUAGUUUAAAGAAGUGUUUUCUGUUGAAGUUUUGGUAAAAGUUCUUUGGAAUAGGACAUCAUAGAGGGUGAGAAUCCCGUAUUUGACCAUUAUUUUCAGCUGUGUGAUACACUUUCAAAAGAGUCGGAUUGUUUGGGAAUGCAGUCCAAAAUGGGUGGUAAAUUUCAUCUAAAGCUAAAUAUUGGCGAGAGACCGAUAGCGAACAAGUACCGUGAGGGAAAGAUGAAAGAACUUUGAAAAGAGAGUUAAACAGUACGUGAAAUUGUCAAAAGGGAAGCGUUUGACACCAGUGUUGUUUUCUCGAAAAUCAAUUAAAAAGAGUUAGAUUUUGUUGUGUAUUGACCUUAACAGCUUGCAUUUCAAUUUUCUUGCUUUUUUUAAUGCACUUUUCGUUUAACAAGUCAACAUCAGUUUCUUUUGUUGUAAAAAGGUCAUUGGAAGGUGGCUUUCUUUUCGGAGAAAGUGUUUAUAGCCUUUGACUCCUGCAAUCGGAGAGACUGAGGUCUGCAGCGUAGAUCCUUCGGGGUUAGAUACAUUUGUGCUAAGUUAUAGCUUUUUAUAGACAACUUGUUGACUAUGAUUAGUCUUGUAGCUUACUCGCUUAUGCUAUUUUACCUACGCUUAGGAUGUUGAUGUGAUACUGCGAGCA
rnacentral:rRNA from 1 species